GUGUUUGCUUUGGCAGCACAUAUACUAAAAGUGGAACAACACAGAGCAGAUUAGCAGGGCCCCUGUGCAAGGAUGGCACGCAAAUUCGUGAAGCAUUCCAUAUUUAA